CUGGCCAAAGUGGUCACCUAGGCACUGUGGGAUCUCCUCCGGAGGCUAAAAGCUGUGUAAACAGGAAGAACAUGUCUUCACUUGCACAUCACCACAAAAGCCCCAGUCA